CAGUGCACCAUCCUGCAUCUCUUUCACAGUCAAGUGGAUCACUGGUCAGAUGCUCUGUUGUGUGGGAUUUCAUGCUUAUGGACUGGGCAUUUCAUAAAUAAGCCCACAGAUGAUUGUGGGUGACCCUUUAUGGACUAAGAAUGCAAAUCUAGAUUCAGAAUAGGUAUCUGACCUUGUGAGAACAAAAUACUAGAUCUUCCAUGACAGCAAAUGCCCAAUGUAUUCAAUGUUGCCAAGUGGAUUUUUUGCCUAUCCAAGUAGUAAGUAGUAGUGUUGUAUCACUGUCUCAGCAUUGAGCUUCAUUGCAGACAGGUUGGAUACUCAGAAGUAUCUGUGGCUAGAUUGAACUUCAUAAGUGGAAAUCUGUGCUUUCCAGGCCAUAUAUAACCUUUAUUUCUGCUACUUUGGCCACUCUGUUAACAUGCUCAUGUACUAGUUCUAUUGUUGAAUAAUGGUAAAUACCAAGAAGAUUUAAGACAGGCAAAAUAUUAAUAGAAGGAUAUGGCAGUGAUGGGUAAAAAAUAGGAAGCAGGCAUGUGCAGAAUGAAUCUUCAGAAGGCACUGCAUAUCUACUAACUGUGAAAUUAGUAAGGUAGUAAAGGACAACUAGACAGGACAUGUCUUAUCCUGAAGUACACCUUUAAGAACAUUUUGGCCAGGAUAAAAGGGAGCCUUUUUGGUAUGCUGAAAAUGCCCCCCCCCCCCCCGCCCAAAUAUCAGGCCCAAUCCUGGAACCUAUGGAUGUUACAUUAUAUGAUAAAAGAUACAAUAAAAUUAAGGAUCUUGAACUGUAGAUAUUAUCUUAAAAAAGCAUGCAAUCAGAUGUGUCCUUAUAAGACUGGUAGAGGGAGAUUUAACACAGAGAAGACCACACAGAAAAGAAGGCAAUGUGACCACAAAGACUGAGAUUGGAAUGAUGCAACCACUAGUGUCAAGAUGCCAACAGUCACUAGAAGCUGGAAGAAGCAAAGAAUGGAUUCUUCUCUAGAGCAUCCAGAGAAAACACUCCUUUGCAGACUCCUUGAUUACAGCUCAGUGCCUCUGAUUUCAAAAUUCUGGCAUCUAGAACUGGUUGAGAAAGAAUUUCAGUUGUUUAGAGCCACAUUUCUGGCCAUCAUUAUAGGCAACGAAUACAGUUCUCAAGCCAGAGUUGUACAGUAGAGGAGGUCCACAUAAUACAAGAAUGAAUCUGCAUGCAUAUGAUACCAUGCUCAGUCAUUGCCUGGAAGCACCCUGGGGGAAGUGUGGCUUGGCAUGAAUGCAGCAUGGAUCAAGGAAGGCAGCAAAGAACCUGCCAGUCAAUUGCCCUUUCCAGAAUAAGAAAAGAAAACGGCACAUUUCUAUCACAACCAAGUAAAAGGUCGUGAAUGUCUCCCUUUAUUGAUAUCAAGCAAUCUCAUGGAAGCUGAUUGGAAUGUGCCACUGUGAUACACAAAUAUUCCUGGCCAGAAUAUUCACCAGUGCUUUUGAAAAUACUGAUUCCAAGGUCCCAUCGUCCUUACUAGGUCAGAAUCUCCAUGAGAAAAUUUCCAAGUAUUUCUGAGGAUUCAUGUGAUUAGGAUAAUUUGGGAACUACUUGGACAAAACUGAAAUUGCAAAGAAGCCAAGGACAGAAUUGAGAGAUUUGCAGAAAGAGGCUGAAGCCAUAACUGACUGAUCACCGGUCUCAACAAUUAACAUGGGAUAAUUAAUCUUUGGAACAAAAUCAAAUGGCUUGAUCCUAGGUCCCUGAGAUCAUAACCUGAGCCAAAAUCAAGAGUCCAACACAGAGCCUGACUCACUACUGGAUCUUAUACCCUGAGAUGGUUACCAGAACCCAAACAAAGAGCUGGACACUUAACUGACUGUGCCACCCAGAUUUCAUUAGACAAAUGAAAUCCAGAGUGAUCCCAAGAGCCUUUCAUUUCCAUGGAAUUUCAUGGAACUAAUAACUUCUAAUUUCUUCCUGAAGGACUUAUCACUCUUCGCUGAUAUAAGUGAUUAAGUAAGUAGAAAAAAGAGAAUUCCUCUAUGCUGAAGAAUUCCAAAUAAUGCAAUCAUCUACCCUCAAGAAGUAGAAGCAAAACUCCCACUCACUACCUAAGUAUUAGCUACACUUAGUGAUUUUCUCCCAAAGAAUGCUAUAUGAAAAAAAGGGAAAGAAGAGUAACUCUACAGGAAAGAAGGCUGACAAGCAAUCCCACCAGGGAAUCUAGGUCAACAUGAACUUUAAUAAAUCAUGUUUGAAUAUUAUCCCGUGAUAUUAAAUGAUUAAAAGGUGCUUUAUCCUCAUGAUCUUCUUACUCAAAGUUCAUACCACCUAAUUAUGAGAAAAAAUCAUACCAGUCUUAACAGAGUGGCAUCCUAUAAUAUGCCUAGCCAGGACUCAUAAUGAUCAAGGUCAACAGGAACAAGGAAAAUCUGAGAAUCUGUUAUACUCAAGAGGAGCCUACAGAGACAUGAGAACUUAAUGUAAUGUGGUAUCUUGGAGCAGAAAUUUGAGUGAAAAAUGGAUUCUAGUUGAAAACAGUAAUCAACACUGCUUAUUAUUAAUAAACGUAUAAGAUGUUAAUAAUGGGGAAACUGCAUUUAGGGUACAUGUGAACUCUUUCAAAUUCUGGAAGUCUAAAACUGUUAUAAAAAAAGUAAAUUGGGCUGAUCUGAUAGUUCUCAUAUUAGUAACUUUCUCAGACAGGAGUGGAAUGUUAGUUGAUAAAACAAAAGCAUACAAUGAAGAAGAAAAAAGGAUGCUAUGAAUUUGAAGAUAAAACCAAGAUCAUACAAUAGUUUUUAAAGUUUUUG